rnacentral:rRNA from 1 species
GGACUACCCGGGUAUCUAAUCCUGUUUGAUCCCCACGCUUUCGGGUCUGAGUGUCAGUGUGUAGCCAGAUAGCCGCCUUCGCCUCCGGUAUUCCUCCUGAUAUCUACGUAUUUCACCACUACACCAGGAAUUCUACUAUCCUCUCUACCACUCAAGCUACGCAGUAUCAAAUGCACUUCUGGGGUUGAGCCCCAGGCUUUCACACCUGACUUACAUAGCCACCUGCACCCGCUUUACGCCCAAUAAUUCCGAACAACGCUAGGAUCCCUCGUCUUACCGCGGCGGCUGGCAC